GUGACUUGCUUUGACCUUUGCUGCUGGGUGCCUUGGCGGAGUGCUGGCGAGCUAUUGAGUCUCAUCAUGAAUGCAGUGACUUAUGAGGACGUGCAUGUGAACUUCACUCAAGAGGAGUGGGCUCUGCUGGAUCCUUCUCAGAAGAAGCUCUACAAAGAUGUCAUGCUGGAGACCUACAGGAACCUCAAUGCUAUAGGAUUUAAUUGGGACGACAAAAAUAUUCAAGAACAUUGUCCAAGUUCUAGAAGACACAGAAGGCAUGAAAGAAGUCCGAGUGCAGAGAAAGCGUCUGAAUAUACUCAAUGUGAUAAAGUCUUUUUUUUAUGCUCACAGUCAUGCUCAAAGGCAUGAAAGGAUUCAUACAGAAAUGAACCCCCUUGGAAUUAUUCAAUUUGUUGAAGCCUUUGCUCAACAUCGUCUCCAACUUCGUAAAAGAGCACAAACUGGAAAGAAACUCUAUGAAUGGAAGCAAUGUGGUAAAGCCUUUGAAGAUCACAGUCAUCUUAAAAGCUAUGAAGGAAUUCAUACGGGAGAGAAACCUUAUGAAUGUCAUCAGUGUGAAAAAGCCUUUUCAAGUCACAGUAAUCUCCUACAACCUAAAGGAACACAUACUGGAGAGAAAUGCUAUGAAUGUGAUCUGUGUGGUAAAGCCUUUUCACAACAUAGUCGGCUUAAAAGGCAUGGAAGAAUUCAUACUGGAGAGAAACCCUACAGAUGUAAUAACUGUGAGAAAGCCUUUUCACAACAUAUUCACCUCCAGUCACAUAGAAGAAUUCCUACUGGAGAGAAACCCUACAAAUGUAAUAAAUGUGAGAAAGCCUUUUUACAACACUAUAACCUCCAAAGACAUAAAAGAAUACAUAUUGGAAAGAAACCCAAUGAAUGU
rnacentral:lncRNA from 1 species